AGAGUUUGAUCAUGCUCAGAACGAACGCUAGCGGCGCGCUUUAAGCAUGCAAGUCGAGCGGUAAGGCCUUCGGGUACACGAGCGGCAAACGGGUGAGUAACACGUGACUAUCUACCUUAGGGUGGGGGAUAGCCUGUGGAAACGCAGGGUAAUCCCGCAUAUUCCCUUUUGGGCAAAACUACGGUGCCCUAAGAUGAGGUCGCGGCUCAUUAGCUAGUAGGCGGGGUAAUGGCCCACCUAGGCUUUGAUGAGUAGCCGGACUGAGAGGUUGGCCGGCCACAUUGGGACUGAGACACGGCCCAGACUCCUACGGGAGGCAGCAGUGGGGAAUUUUCCGCAAUGGGCGCAAGCCUGACGGAGCAAGACCGCGUGGGGGAGGAAGGUCUGUGGAUUGUAAACCCCUUUUGUCAGGGAAGAAAAGCUCCGGGCCAAUACCCCGGGGUCAUGACGGUACCUGAAGAAUAAGCACCGGCUAACUACGUGCCAGCAGCCGCGGUAAUUC
rnacentral:rRNA from 1 species